UACAGGUACCAAUCAUCAUGCCUUGCUUCGA
rnacentral:piRNA from 1 species